AGUGAGCGCUGGCGGCGUGCUUAACACAUGCAAGUCGAACGAGAACGGAUUAUAGCUUGCUAUAAUUGCCAGCUAAGUGGCGCACGGGUGAGUAAUGUAUAGGUAAUAUGCCUCUUACUAAGGGAUAGCAAAUGGAAACGUUUGCUAAUACCUUAUACUCCUUAUUAACAUAAGUUAAUAAGGGAAAGAUUUAUUGGUAAGAGAUUAGCUUGUAUUGUAUCAGUUAGUUGGUGGGGUAAUGGCUUACCAAGACUAUGACACAUAACUGGUUUGAGAGGAUGAUCAGUCACACUGGAACUGAGACACGGUCCAGACUCCUACGGGAGGCAGCAGUGGGGAAUAUUGCACAAUGGACGAAAGUCUGAUGCAGCAACGCCGCGUGGAGGAUGACACAUUUCGGUGCGUAAACUCCUUUUAUAUGAGAAGAUAAUGACGGUAUUAUAUGAAUAAGCACCGGCUAACCCCGUGCCAGCCGCCGCAGUAA
rnacentral:rRNA from 1 species